GAAAUGCGAUAAGUAGUGUGAAUUGCAGAAUUCAGUGAAUCAUCGAAUCUUUGAACGCACAUUGCGCCCCUUGGUAUUCCAUGGGGCAUGCCUGUUCGAGCGUCAUUUGUACCCUCAAGCUCUGCUUGGUGUUGGGUGUUUGUCCCGUCUCCGCGCGUGGACUCGCCCCAAAGUGAUUGGCAGCCGGCAUACUGGUCCCGGAGCGCAGCACAUGUCGCGCAAACGAGUGCCUUGGUACGGCGGCGUCCAUAAGCCCCUCUCUCACGCUCUUGACCUCGGAUCAGGUAGGGAUACCCGCUGAACUUAAGC
rnacentral:misc_RNA from 1 species